rnacentral:lncRNA from 1 species
GAACCAGGACUGGCAGGCAGCCAGAACCCUCUUGGACAGAGAUAUAAUUACUUAUCAUGACCUCUAGCCCAGGCAUUGAGCAAAAUGGCCCUGUAGGCUGGCACCAACCCUGUCUAGCAAAUAAACGCGGCCAUGGUGGGGACGGGAGGGCAGGUAAGUGGGCCUUGUAGGAAAUGGCAGAGGCCUGUGAGCCCCUGGGGCCUAUAUAUUCCCUCAGCAACACAACCCUACAGACUCCCAGGUUAUAUUUUCACUCACUGCAUCCCAUUUGCUCAUUUGCUCGCCUCUCUGCAUCUCUGUUCUUCAUUUCAAUGUUAUGAAUAUUGAUGAUGAGAACAGGAAUGCCCAUGUGCAUGCGCGUGCGUGCACGCACGCACAUACACACACACACACACACACACACACACACACACACACGCCCUACUUAAUGAACCAAAGGGAAACUUUGAUGUUGCUCCAGGACAAGAGGGAGAGCCAGGGGCUGCCAGGCAAGGUGCAUCUUUCCUGAAGUCUUCUCCAGUCCUGCUCCUCCAGCUCUCAGCCUCUGCACAGCCACCAGGGUUGCAAAGGGAGCCUUGUGCUUGGAAAGCUACUGGCUCCGCGACCUCUCUCCUUCUCUUCCCUUCGUUCACCUAUGCUUCUUUUCAUGAAAGAUAUUUGGCAAUAGUUGGGUACUUCAAAAGUCUCAAUUCUGCUAUCAAAGGGAUGCAAAGCUUUUAUGGCUAGAAUGGGGUUUGUGGUUUAUACGGACUUGGUUUGCCCUUCCAUGUCUACUCCCCACUGAGACCCUGAUUCUCCUCCUGCCCUCUCCCUUCCCUGCACUGUUUCCUCCCUUCCCUCUGCCGUGAUAGAUGCUAAGGAGUGGGGUGGAGGUGGGAAGUGGGAAGCAACAGUGGCGUAUAGGAAAAAGAAAAUAUACCCCGUGCACAUUUUCAACAUGUAGUUGAAGAAGCCUAAAUUAGGUACUAGAAAAAAAAAAAGGACAGAAACACUGCCUGAUAUGUGAGCAAGAGCAUGAAAAUAUAGAAUGAUUAUCUCAGAGCAGAGGAGGUGGGGAGCAGGUGGCUGGAGAGAGGCGGGGUAGGUAGGCAGGGCGUCCCUGGCUCACCAAUGCGUCUGGUCCACAUGGCAUUUGGGAAAGCAGAUGGGUCAUGCUUUUGCAAUGAAUGGUCAGAUGCUUAGGGGGCAUUUGUGCUCCUCUGGCCAGGAAAGGGAACAGAGUCCAUCCAAGCUGCCCCCCACUCAUCUGCCAUGGUUGUCCACCCUGGGGGUUUUUCCUCUGAAGGAAAAUGAACCCAUCUUUUGCCUGCCAUGAAUCAUUGCAGGGCAGGCUGUUACUGGCUAAAUUAAAACCCUUGGCAGGGCAUCGACUGUGUGCGAGGCAAUGCUCUAGGUCCUGUAGGGGCUGGAAAAUAAACCGCAUGCUGGCCUAGCCUUCAAGUUGCUUUUCAGCCAUGAAAUUAAGCUCUGCCAAGCAAUCGUGAUUGUAGGUCAAGUAUCGCGCCAUCACGGAAGGUGUAAGUAUAUGUAGGUUUCUCUGUUGAGGAUGCGUGUUCCUCAGUAGAAGACAAGCAGGUGGAGGCAUCCAGUGAUUUCUACCCUGUGGAGGCUGAGGGGUCGGGGGAAGAAAACAGAUGACCUCAGCCUAGUUGCUUUAAUCUGCUUUUCCAAGCACUGGAUGCCCUUGGAUGACAGCAUCCUCAGCAUUAAAACUGGUGAACUGAUGAAGUCACCUGGCCUGGAGUGUGUUGGGCAGCCAGUGUCCCCAGAGCUGCUUGUGGGUUUCUGGGGUGGAAGGCAGGGAGGUGCAACUGGCAGGGCCUGAUCAGAGGCAGAAAAUGACCCCCACAGUGGUCUUUUCCCUGCUAGAGAAAGCAGAGAGCGGGACUGGGGGGGUGGGGGCUUCAAGUACAGAUUGGGCACACUCCACCAGACCCCAGCAAGGUCAGCUGCCCCACGCCUGUAUCUGGCACUGCUGGUGUGUGCAGGGAUGAAACCCAGCAUCAGAGAGGUUUUCAGCAAACCUUCCAUGCUCACCUUUGGCCAGGUGCUUGUCAGAUCCUAGCUUCGUGCUGGCUUAGACUCUCAGUUGUUUGUGUUGACAGCAUUAGGAAUAAACCGUUUGUUUCAUCUUUCCUUUUCUCCACACGUGUCACAGCCAGAUUUCAGCUUUGAGUUAUUCCCUGAAGAAGCCACACCAACCUUGCUUUCAAGCAAAAUGCCUGGGCUUGGGGGAAGGUGUGUAUCUGUCCAUGUGUGGAUGUUGGCUCAGAGCUAUAGCUUCUCUGUGGGGGGUGGCCCAAGGGAAGGCUCCUCUGGGGCCCUGGAUGGCACAUGACUCCCAGUGAGGAGAAUUCUGGUGAUCUCUGUGGAGGUAGUCAGGGACACAAGGCUUGGCUGUGAGUCUGGUUUUAAAGUGCGUGACAGCCUGAAAAGCAUGCAGGGGUUUGGUCCACUCACCUACUUGAAAGCCUGUGGGCAACGUUCUUUUGAGCCAAGACUUCUCUGAAUGGCCCUGCUGGUGGAAGGGGUGAGGCAAAGGCCUCUGACUUGGACCCUUUCCACACCAGACUGGCAGCACUUCCCCCAGGCAGCCAGUGGUGGGCCCUGAGCCCUCAGGUCCCCAGCUCCUUGAGGGAUGAACCUGGGAGCCCAAGAGCCAGUGGCUGAGCUCUGAGAAGGCUCCAUCUCCCACCUGCCCUUGAGCGCGCUCUCAGGCUGAGAACACGGUCUCAUCAGGCGCCUUCCUGGCCUGAUGCUGUGCUGUCUACGUCACACGGUCGAUUCACAAAAGCCAGAACUAGACCUCAACCAGGUCAUCUCCCCGUUGCCAAGUGGGUUCAGGGUGAGGGCAAUUUGUAAGCUCAAUUUCUCUGACAGCCAAGACAUGGAGCAUCUCUGCUAAGAAGCCAAAAGAAAUUGGUUUUCUUCUUCUCAUUGCUGAAGCCCCUCUGUGUCUCUUCUCAGGGACAGGCUGGUCCAGUGGCUUUGGUGAGGGCGCCUCCAUUUGUGAACGCUGGGAUUCCUCUGGGUGGGCUUUGGCAGGUGGCUCCUAUGGUAGGAAGGAUGACCAGGUCCCUGGGAAUGAGCUGCCUACCUGCUGCUCCACGAGGAAGCUCAGGCCUGCACAGGCUCCACCAGGCCUUGGAUGCCCUCUAGUUGAGUCAGAGACCCUGGAAACACACUGAGAUCUCCAAUUGCUGCCUCCAUUGAUGUCUCUAGACCUGCAGAUACGAAGCAAACCUGGGAUUGCUUCUUCCAGAGAGCUGGCAGAUUGUGACAAUCUCCAGGAGAACCUACAGAUUGGAAGCAGCCCACACCUGAUGUGGACUCCUGACCCGGGACUCACUCUUCAUUCAGAAGACUGGUGGCCCACGUGCCAGGACCACCCCACCUCUCUUGCUGCCUUUUCUCCUGUCCUGAUGGGGUUCUGGGAGGGAGACCUGUCGCUGAUGAGAUGAAGAAUGUGGGGAUCGAGCAGCCUUCUUCUUUGGGACCCCUCGAUAUCCCAUGGAAUGCUCGCACGUUCUCAAAGACUGAGUCACAAGCCCCUACCCCUUCCUUGCUGUGGUUAGUAUCUUGUUCUGUGAUUGGUUAGCAAUGUUGACUACCCACGUAGUGAAUCUUUUGUCUGCAAUUUAGAGAAUGUGUAAACAAAUAAAAGGCUUUAA